ACAAAGUUCUGGAGAUGGAGAGUGGUGAUGGCUGCAUAGCAAGGUAAACAUACUUAAUGACACUGAAUUAUACAUUAAAAAAUGCUAAAAUAGUAAAG